GGUGGCAUAGUGGUUAGAGCGUUUGCCUCGGAUGCAGGAGGUCGUAGGUUCGAGCCACAGACGAGUCAUACCAUGCG